rnacentral:rRNA from 1 species
AGUGAACGCUGGCGGUAGGCCUAACACAUGCAAGUCGAACGGCAGCACAGUAAGAGCUUGCUCUUACGGGUGGCGAGUGGCGGACGGGUGAGGAAUACAUCGGAAUCUACUUUUUCGUGGGGGAUAACGUAGGGAAACUUACGCUAAUACCGCAUACGACCUACGGGUGAAAGCAGGGGAUCUUCGGACCUUGCGCGAUUGAAUGAGCCGAUGUCGGAUUAGCUAGUUGGCGGGGUAAAGGCCCACCAAGGCGACGAUCCGUAGCUGAUCUGAGAGGAUGAUCAGCCACACUGGAACUGAGACACGGUCCAGACUCCUACGGGAGGCAGCAGUGGGGAAUAUUGGACAAUGGGCGCAAGCCUGAUCCAGCCAUACCGCGUGGGUGAAGAAGGCCUUCGGGUUGUAAAGCCCUUUUGUUGGGAAAGAAAAGAAGCAGGUUAAUACCCCGCUGUUCUGACGGUACCCAAAGAAUAAGCACCGGCUAACUUCGUG